rnacentral:rRNA from 1 species
AGAGAGAGACAUGCGCGCAUAUCAAUAAGCGGAGGAAAAGAAACUAACAAGGAUUCCCUUAGUAACGGCGAGUGAAGCGGGAAGAGCUCAAAUUUGAAAUCUUCAAGGUUUUACCUUGACGAAUUGUAGUUUAAAGAAGUGUUUUCUGCUGAAGUUUUGGUAAAAGUCCUUUGGAAUAGGACAUCAUAGAGGGUGAGAAUCCCGUAUUUGACCAUUAUUUUCAGCUUUGUGAUACACUUUCAAAGAGUCGGAUUGUUUGGGAAUGCAGUCCAAAAUGGGUGGUAAAUUUCAUCUAAAGCUAAAUAUUGGCGAGAGACCGAUAGCGAACAAGUACCGUGAGGGAAAGAUGAAAAGAACUUUGAAAAGAGAGUUAAACAGUACGUGAAAUUGUCAAAAGGGAAGCGUUUGACACCAGUGUUGUUUUCUCGAAAAUCAAUUAAAGAUGGCUCGAUUUUGUAUUGCUUGAGACCUUAAAAGCUCACUGUACAUUUUUCGUGUCUUUUUUAAUGCACUUUUCGUUUAACAAGUCAACAUCAGUUUCUUUUGUUGUAAAAGGGUCAUUGGAAGGUGGCUUUCUUUUCGGAGAAAGUGUUUAUAGCCUUUGGCCUCUGCAAUCGAAGAGACUGAGGUCUGCAGCGUAGACUCUUCGGGGUUAGAUACAUUUGUGCUAAGUUAUAGCUUUUUAUAGACAACUUGUUGACUAUAAUUAGUCUUGUAGCUUACUCGCUUAUGCUAUUUUACCUACGCUUAGGAUGUUGAAGAUGUAGCACAUCAU